UUUCCGUAGGUGAACCUGCGGAAGGAUCAUUACAGUAGUCGCCCGGGUUGCCUCAAGGCCUCUCGGGUAACCUACCACCCUUUGUUUAUUACACUUUGUUGCUUUGGCAGGCCUGCCUUCGGGCUGCUGGCUCCGGCCGGCGAGCGCUUGCCAGAGGAUCUAAACUCUGUUUGUCUAUACUGUCUGAGUACUAUAUAAUAGUUAAAACUUUCAACAACGGAUCUCUUGGUUCUG
rnacentral:misc_RNA from 1 species